AGCUAACGAGCUAACGAGCUAACCAGCUAACUACAAUGGACUUUCUUUGAUUCAGACUUCUUUCAAAGGAAGUUUGAUGGUUUUCACUGAGAGUAAACUAUCACUUCACCUGCUUCACUUCACUGAACAACACUUACCCGUGUGGCCACCAGUUCCUCAACAUGAUGAAUCCAACGUGGGCUGCUGGGAUGGAGGAUGAUGGGGGCUACUCAUGGAGGUGAGAGGAAGGCGCUGGCAUCGCUUCAGUUCCACGGGUUUGACCGGAAGAGAGAGGUGGAUAAGGUCCUUGAUCAAGUGGAGGCACUUAUGGCAGAGGAAUCAGGCUACUCUGAGAAAUUAAUACACUCCAAACAAAGUGAAUGUCACAGGCUUCCUCAGAAACCCUUUGUCUUCAGAGGAGGACAUGGAGCUAAGGACUGCUGCUCGGGGUCUGAUUAGGAUGCUUCUGAGACCACAGGGAGGAAGAGAAUCCACGCACCGCCAUGCUGCAAA